rnacentral:rRNA from 1 species
ACGGAGAAUUGCUAGCUUGCUAAUAAUUCUCUAGUGGCGCACGGGUGAGUAACACGUGAGUACCUGCCCCCAAGAGUGGGAUAGCCCCGGGAAACUGGGAUUAAUACCGCAUAAAGCAAUAAAGCAGCAAUGCGCUUGGGGAUGGGCUCGCGUCCUAUUAGUUAGUUGGUGAGGUAACGGCUCACCAAGGCGAUGACGGGUAGCCGGUCUGAGAGGAUGUCCGGCCACACUGGAACUGAGACACGGUCCAGACACCUACGGGUGGCAGCAGUCGAGAAUCAUUCACAAUGGGGGAAACCCUGAUGGUGCGACGCCGCGUGGGGGAUAAGGUCUUCGGAUUGUAAACCCCUGUCAUGUGGGACAUUAAAAGAUAGUACCACAAGAGGAAGAGACGGCUAACUCUGUGCCAGCAGCCGCGGUAAUACAGAGGUCUCAAGCGUUGUUCGGAAUCACUGGGCGUAAAGCGUGCGUAGGCGGUUUCGUAAGUCGUGUGUGAAAGGCGGGGGCUCAACCCCCGGACUGCACAUGAUACUGCGAGACUAGAGUAAUGGAGGGGGAACCGGAAUUCUCGGUGUAGCAGUGAAAUGCGUAGAUAUCGAGAGGAACACUCGUGGCGAAGGCGGGUUCCUGGACAUUAACUGACGCUGAGGCACGAAGGCCAGGGGAGCGAAAG